GGAUCCGUCGUCUAGCUUGGUUUGGAUGCCGCACUCACACUGCGGAGGUCAAGGGUUCGAAUCCCUUCGGAUCCA
rnacentral:tRNA from 3 species